ensembl:lncRNA
UAACAUAUUUUAAAAUAUGAAAUAUUUUAGAACAUAAAAUACUUUAAAUAGUUUGAAAUAUAAAAUGUAAAUUAUCUCUGGGUGGUAGAAUAUAUUAUAUAAAAUAUACAAAUUUCGGGCCCGGUGCGGUGGCUCAAGCCUGUAAUCCCAGCACUUUGGGAGGCCGAGGUGGGUGGAUCACGAAGUCAAGAGAUCAAGACCAUCCUGGUCAACAUGGUGAAACCCCGUCUCUACUAAAAAUACAAAAAAUUAGCUGGGCAUGGUGGCGCGUGCCUGUAGUCCCAGCUACUCAGGAGGCUGACGCAGGAGAAUUGCCUGAAACCCAGAAGGCGGCGGUUGCCGUGAGCUGAGAUCCCGCCAUUGCACUCCAGCCAGGGAGCCUCACAUUCUCCAUGAGAAGACAUGACUAACACAUCCGCACUUGGAGAGAAAUAUGCCAAAUUAGAUUACUAAUUAGAAACUAUAAACUACAGAAUAAUAAAGCGAUAAUUUAGCCAAGAGAGAAUAACGUGAAAUAAACUCAGCCGGUGACCUAAAGCCGAGCAACAGGCACAGGCGUCCUCAGGGCCUUCUGGAUGGUCGCUUUCACCUCCUGCCUGGGCUACCGAAUCUCCACAAAGAAAAAUGAGUCACCCGACUCAAAAGGGGUGAGGGCAGAGGCUGGGACAAGGCAUGAAAACCUCAGAUAACCAAGUAAAAAAACAAAACAAAGGAAGAAAAAGCAGUAUAAUCUUUCACACCAGAACCAGCCUGCAGCCAGCCAGAUCCCCAGAGAAGAGGCCCCUCAAGGACACAUGGGGUACAUCGAUCUUGUCACCUGGAAUUUGGCAGAUCGACCAGCCCCCUACCAACCUAUCAUACAAUGGCCUGGCAGCUCUCAUCCUUCCACAGGAUUUGCUCAAUGCUGGCUCGGCAGCUGCUGCAGCCACAGUGACAAGCCCUGGGCCUCUAUGGGCUUCCUUCUUCAUCCAGGGCCAAGAUGGGCUGCCUCUCCUGGACUGAGACACAAUGAUGUUCUCUUAAACUAGAAUCAGAGCACAAGCCUACUCCAUCACCAAGAAUCAUGUCAGGGCACAAUCCCAGCCUCCUUCCUUGGGGGCUUUUAAAACACAUUUCUCUUCCCAUCUCUCUGACUCAGGUAUGUAGGUGAGAUUUGACUUUAAAGAAAGGGGAUGGAGUUGGGAGAUGAGGAAUGAGUCCCAGAACCAACUCAGCCCUCUACAACACUGUGCCCUUGUUGGGGGAGAGGCAUCCACACCUCGAACUGUUCCUGGUGAUGGAGGAAAAUGCAGGAGAAAAGGAAAAUAAACAAAAAAAAAAAGGAACCAGGUGGUUGUACUCUGAAAGUCUCUGAAAGUCAUUUAAUGCUUCUCUCGUGGUUCUCCCCUACCCUGGUUGCUUUGCUGAGUUCCUGGGUGCUGGCAGGGCUGCUCUAGCUGAAAGAGCUGCUGCUCUGGGAUUUGGGAGAGUCCUGCUCGUUGAUGGUAUUAAGAAGCAGGUAUGUGGGCGGCUGUGGCAGGUGAGGGUGCCCAGGCUCUCGAUCCUGCUCCUCAGAAAGCUGGCAGAGAACUUCCUCAUCACCAGGGGGCCACACAUGGCAGCUGUCGCAGAAGUCCAGGGGCCCAUCCAGAGCAUUGUCGAUGAGCACGUUGAACUCUUUGAGGUCAUCGUCAUGGUGGCCCCGGUUGCACACACACACUUCAAUGCCUGAGUCACCUGUGAAGCGGCGAUGUCUCCCAGGUGUCUUCUCUUUGCUGUCGGGUGGUUCUCUGCCAGGUUCAGAGCUGUCAUCUUUCAGCAGCUCCUCCCUACACUCUGCAUCCUUGUCCAGGAUGGCCCCUGAGUUCAGCUCCCCCAGGCCAGCCACAAAGCCACUGGGCUCCGUCCCCGGAGCUUUGGUGGCUACUUAGUCAACUAGUAGGUCAGAGGGCUCAGGGUCAGCGAUGCUGGGAGGUCUUGUGCUGUUUCUGCUGGGCCCAGACAAGGGGCCGCUCUAUGCCCCUUGGGAUCCCCUGGUGGGAUCAGUGCUGCCCGAAGGACUGCCACCUGCAGCGCCACACUGUGGAGGCAGCAGCUCCUGCUGCUGUAGCUGGAAGACACUGUAUGGUGGGGGAGGAGUUGGAGGUCGGUUCACCACUUCUUCAUAAGGAGGUAGUAAAUAGUUUGUCAAAAACCUGAAAUAAAAUGGCAGCGCUGAGUAAUUGUGGGCUUCUCAG